rnacentral:rRNA from 1 species
UACAGAGGUGGCAAGCGUUGUUCGGAAUUACUGGGCGUAAAGGGCGCGUAGGCGGCCCUCUAAGUCAGACGUGAAAUCCCCAGGCUCAACCUGGGAACUGCGUCUGAUACUGGACGGCUUGAGUAUGGGAGAGGGAUGUAGAAUUCCAGGUGUAGCGGUGAAAUGCGUAGAUAUCUGGAGGAACACCGGUGGCGAAGGCGGCAUCCUGGACCAACACUGACGCUGAGGCGCGAAAGCUAGGGGAGCAAACGGG